rnacentral:rRNA from 1 species
GGGUAACGGCCCACCAAGGCAACGAUCAGUAGGGGUUCUGAGAGGAAGGUCCCCCACAUUGGAACUGAGACACGGUCCAAACUCCUACGGGAGGCAGCAGUGAGGAAUAUUGGUCAAUGGACGAGAGUCUGAACCAGCCAAGUAGCGUGCAGGAAGACGGCCCUAUGGGUUGUAAACUGCUUUUAUAAGGGAAUAAAGUGAGAGUCGUGACUCUUUUUGCAUGUACCUUAUGAAUAAGGACCGGCUAAUUCCGUGCCAGCAGCCGCGGUAAUACGGAAGGUCCGGGCGUUAUCCGGAUUUAUUGGGUUUAAAGGGAGCGUAGGCCGGAGAUUAAGCGUGUUGUGAAAUGUAGACGCUCAACGUCUGCACUGCAGCGCGAACUGGUUUCCUUGAGUACGCACAAAGUGGGCGGAAUUCGUGGUGUAGCGGUGAAAUGCUUAGAUAUCACGAAGAACUCCGAUUGCGAAGGCAGCUCACUGGAGCGCAACUGACGCUGAAGCUCGAAAGCGCGGGUAUCGAACAGGAUUAGAUACCCUGGUAGUUCGCACGGUAAACGAUGGAUGCCCGCUGUUGGUCUGAAUAGGUCAGCGGCCAAGCGAAAGCAUUAAGCAUCCCACCUGGGGAGUACGCCGGCAACGGUGAAACUCAAAGGAAUUGACGGGGGCCCGCACAAGCGGAGGAACAUGUGGUUUAAUUCGAUGAUACGCGAGGAACCUUACCCGGGCUUGAAUUGCAGAGGAAGGAUUUGGAGACAAUGACGCCCUUCGGGGCCUCUGUGAAGGUGCUGCAUGGUUGUCGUCAGCUCGUGCCGUGAGGUGUCGGCUUAAGUGCCAUAACGAGCGCAACCCCUCUCCUUAGUUGCCAUCAGGUUAAGCUGGGCACUCUGGGGACACUGCCACCGUAAGGUGUGAGGAAGGUGGGGAUGACGUCAAAUCAGCACGGCCCUUACGUCCGGGGCUACACACGUGUUACAAUGGCAGGUACAGAGAGACGGUCCCUUGCAAAACGGAUCAAAUCCUUAAAGCCUGUCUCAGUUCGGACUGGGGUCUGCAACCCGACCCCACGAAGCUGGAUUCGCUAGUAAUCGCGCAUCAGCCAUGGCGCGGUGAAUACGUUCCCGGGCCUUGUACACACCGCCCGUCAAGCCAUGAAAGCCGGGGGCGCCUAAAGUCCGUGACCGUAAGGAGCGGCCUAGGGCGAAACUGGUAAUUGGGGCUAAGUCGUAACAAGGUA